rnacentral:lncRNA from 1 species
AUAAUAAAUGAUUUAUUUUAUUUAAGGAGUGUAUUCUACAGGGACUUCCCUCAUAGUCCAGUGGCUAAGACUCCAGGCUCCCAAUGUAGAGGUCCUGGGUUCAAUCCCUGGUCAGGGAAGUAGAUACCACAUGCCGCAUCCAAGACCCCACACAGCCAGAUAAAUAUAUAUAUAUAUUUUUUUAAUGUUUUCAACAUACAGAAGAAUGGGAAGAAGUCUACAGUGUUCACCCAUCAUCUAGGGUUCAACUGUUGUUUCCCUUUUGCCCUAUCUGCUCCAUCCUGGUCUACAGAGUAACAAGGAACAAGAGAAGCAAACUCUGCCUGCUCUGUCCUUUUGAACCAGAAGCCCAGAGAUGUCUCUUUAAG